rnacentral:rRNA from 1 species
AUGGGGGAAACCCCGACGAGGGAAAGCCAAGUGCCAGCACAAUGUGCUGGCUGUUUUCCUGUCUAAAAAACAGGGAGAGUAAGGGCUGGGUAAGACGGGUGCCAGCCGCCGCGGUAAUACCUGCAGCCCGAGUGGUGCUCGUUAUUAUUGGGUCUAAAUCGUCCGUAGUCGGCCGAGUAGAUGCCUGGGUAAAUCGAGGCGCUUAACGUCUCGAAUGCCAGGUAGACCGCUCGGCUUGGGAUCGGGAGAGGUGCGAGGUACUCCAGGGGUAGGGGUAAAAUCCUGUAAUCCUUGGGGGACCACCGGUGGCGAAGGCGUCGCACUAGAACGAGUCCGACGAUCAGGGACGAAGCCCUGGGGCGCAAACGGGAUUAGAUACCCGGGUAGUCC